CUAAACUCAAAGAACUUGUGUCAAUUUAAUGUUCUGGAGAAUAAAAUAGCACUGUCUUCUUGGGCUUUACUGACUGCAAAAAUAGAAGAUCUGCUGAGUGUUGACUGGUUGUUGUCCUGAAACGUCCUGAGCUUCCACAUCCCUCUGCUCAAAGAAAUGCCAGGGUAGAGCUUGGUUGUCAGGCAGAAGGAAUGCUGGUGAGAUCGGCA
rnacentral:lncRNA from 1 species